rnacentral:miRNA from 1 species
UAUAGGUCUGUGUUGUGAUGUGC